rnacentral:lncRNA from 1 species
CGGGCUUGCCGAGUUUCUGAACAGCAGCUACACUUUGCUGAAUCCCCAUAUCCGAAUGGAAUAUUCAGUAUGGAUUGAUCUACUGGUGAUGCAAUCAUCUCAAGUCAUGUGACAGUUUCCUCUGAAUUGAAAGGAGACAAGUGAUAGAAGAUGACACCAGAGAAUGUAUAAGGGACCAGGGAGAAGCACACGAGACAAGAAAAAGGUAAAAAAGCAAAUGCCUUAGUAUUUGGCUGCAUACAGAUUCAAGGUUUUAGAAUUUAAAAAAGUGAAACAAAAUUAGAAAUUUG